CAUCUAGCAUGUGCGCAAGUCAUUGGGUAUUUAUAAUAAACCUAAAGGCGUAAUGAAAGUGAAUGUAUAUAUAUAAUUUUUUAUAUAUUUUAUAAAGGGAAGAUGGGUGACGUUAUUUAUGUUACCUCGCAUUCCCGGGGCGUUGCAUACUUAUUGCAAGUUGUGGCGCACCAAGAGCGUACACGCUGGGACCCGAAAGAUGGUGAACUAUGCCUGGUCAGGAUGAAGUCAGGGGAAACCCUGAUGGAGGUCCGUAGCGAUUCUGACGUGCAAAUCGAUCGUAUGAACUGGGUAUAGGGGCGAAAGACUAAUCGAACCAU
rnacentral:rRNA from 1 species